UCCACACUUGAAUGUAAGUCGCUUUGGAUAAAAGCAUCUGCUAAAUGGCUGUGU
rfam:Oncorhynchus nerka SINE SmaI-cor DNA, locus name RT-8.